rnacentral:lncRNA from 1 species
CAGAAGUAGGAUUUGAAACCACGUUUUGCUGACUCUAGGGCCACUUCUCUACCCGCUUUGCUACAUUGCUUUUCGAGGCAUUUUAUAACAUAAUUUAAUCAGAAGGUUAGCAAUAAAUCAAUGAAAAAGAUGUGUUUCCCUAGCCUGUGACAAAACCAGUUUCUGUGCCAACUCCCUAGUAGUAGGAAGGGCAAAAUUCUGGAACAGACACCUUAUUCCAGGCCUAAGAGGUCAAAGGUAAACAAACAAACCAGGGCUUUUUCACUUACAAAUCUAUCCUAUGCCCUAUCAUCAUCCCCAACCUUUAGAUUCAGCUUCAUGGUAAUACCUGCAGGAACUCAAGAGCUCUAUUCUUCUCUCCUGAUCUAGCAUGGUUUAUACAAGCAGGACAGCAUCUGGCAUUAACUUUGCUCCCAGGCAGUCAGAUUUCCAGUCUCAGAUUUCCAGCUCCCCUUCUCAUCUGACUAAGAGACACCUUGAAGUAUCAUGCAUAAUUUGCAAUGACCACAAUUUCUUCAUGAAGGGAUUGCAGAAUAUAGGAUGGCUCAAAGCCUGUAUGGCACGUUGCUGGAAACAUAUAAUAAAGGCAGAGAUUUGGAAGAAAAAGUUGAGAUGGAAGAUGUCACUUUGGUAUGGUUCCCCUUGGAGUCUCAUCCUUAACUUUACACUUUCCCUUUCAUUU